rnacentral:lncRNA from 1 species
UGGAACUGUGGAGUGCGGCUUGCUGUCCUCCACAUCCCUAGCUCUCCUGUACUUGUUCAUUGUUGUAGUUGUAAAUAGUUCAUAGAUAAUUCGUAGAUAGUUUGAUAGUAUAGUAGUUAGUUAGAGUCUUGUAUAUAGUUGUUUAACAUUGCUCGCGGGUGGGCCGUUGCCCUCCCCGGCGCCCGGCACCGGGCCCAUGCCUGGCUCACCGGGCUUCAAGCAGUGCUCGGCAUGCAAGAAGCCAAUGCCUACUAGCGAUCCCCACGACACGUGCCUCAAGUGCCUGGGGGAAUCGCACAUCAGCGAAAAGUGCCGCUUUUGCAAGGCCUUUAAGCCUCGCACGAAGAAGGAGAGGGAUCAAAGGCUCCGUGCUCUCCUCAUGGAAGCGGCUCUGACUCCGGCACCGGCGGCGCAGUCGGCCAAUUCUACUCCGGCACUGGACUGCGCCGGCACCGGCAAGACUCCCCGGCACCGACCAUCUCCGGCACCGGGAGCAGACUCACGUCCCUCGGCGUCUGCAACACCAUCGAGGCAGGCCCGAGUGGAGCACCUGGCACCUACCUUGGCCGCGGCACCACCUGCAGGGCUGCUGUCGACUCCGGGCCCGGAAGGUCCGUCGAGUCCAGCCCCUCCUAGCUCCCCCUUAAAAUCAGGGGUCAAGCUACUGGUACCAUCUACGCCGGAGACCUUUGCCUCGGCACGGGACUUGAUCGCGAUGACGGAGCCAUCGCAGCCUCAGCCAGCACCCCCGGGACGGGUAACCUCCAGGGGUAAACCGAUGCUUCGAGUGCUGUCUCCAGAGUCCCGGCACCGAUCACCCCGGAGGCGUGAACGCUCGCGCUUGGGGCGCCGCUCGGAGUCCCGGCACCAUUCUCCCAGGCGGUACCGGUCGUACUCGCGGCACCAAUCGGUAUCUGCACGGUCCCGGUCGGGCUCCUCUCACCGCCGGCACCGAGACUCCAGGAGCCGUUCACCUCGACGUUUGGCUCCUCGGUCGACCUCCCAGCACCGAACCAGUGGUAGGUCCCGAUCUCGGUCAACCUCCCGGCACCGCGCCGGUGGCAGGUCCCGGUCUCCACUGCCAUCCUGGCACCGCGCUCAUCAAAGGUCGCGGUCCCGCUCCCGGCACCGACAUCGCUCCAGAUCCCGAUCCGGAUCCCGGCACCGGUUAUCACGCCGUUCCCGAUCCCGAUCCCGGCACCGAUAUGGGUCGUGGCACCGACCCUCAGCACUGAGGGGAGCGUCGGACUCGGCGCACAGAGACGCCUACCAAUCAGGCUCAGUGCCUCCGUGGCCUUCUAGGGAGCCAUUGGUGUCUUCCCAGGCUGACAGCGCCUAUGCCAUGGGCCAGGACAGACGCUCGGCCCUGUUCUAGGACCCUCCACCACAAGAGCGAGGGCCUCAACAGUGGGGGUUUUGGACCCCAUGGGCGUAUUCCCAAGCCCAGGGUCUGCAACACAUUACCCCCCACCCUACGGGGGAACACAGACCACCGGAGGCGACGGUGUCUAGACUCCCUCCUUCCCCGGAAGCAGACGGCAG